GACGAACGCUGGCGGCGUGCUUAACACAUGCAAGUCGAACGGAAAGGCCCUGCUUUUGUGGGGUGCUCGAGUGGCGAACGGGUGAGUAACACGUGAGUAACCUGCCCUUGACUUUGGGAUAACUUCAGGAAACUGGGGCUAAUACCGGAUAGGAGCUCCUGCUGCAUGGUGGGGGUUGGAAAGUUUCGGCGGUUGGGGAUGGACUCGCGGCUUAUCAGCUUGUUGGUGGGGUAGUGGCUUACCAAGGCUUUGACGGGUAGCCGGCCUGAGAGGGUGACCGGCCACACUGGGACUGAGAGACGGCCCAGACUCCUACGGGAGGCAGCAGUGGGGAAUAUUGCACAAUGGGCGGCAGCCUGAUGCAGCAACGCCGCGUGCGGGAUGACGGCCUUCGGGUUGUAAACCGCUUUCGCCUGUGGCGAAGCGUGAGUGACGGUAAUGGGUAAAGAAGCACCGGCUAACUACGUG
rnacentral:rRNA from 1 species